rnacentral:rRNA from 1 species
ACCAGACUCCUACGGGAGGCAGCAGUGGGGGAUAUUGCACAAUGGGGGGAACCCUGAUGCAGCGACGCCGCGUGGGUGAAGGAGCGUUUCGGCGCGUAAAGCCCUAUCGGCAGGGAAGAAGGAGGACGGUACCUGACUAAGAAGCCCCGGCUAACUACGUGCCAGCAGCCGCGGUAAUACGUAGGGGGCAAGCGUUAUCCGGAUUUACUGGGUGUAAAGGGGGCGCGGACGGCAGCGCAAGCCAGCAGUGAAAGCCCGGGGCCCAACCCCGGGACUGCUCUUGGAACUGCGCGGCUGGAGUGCAGGAGGGGCAGGCGGAAUUCCUGGUGUAGCGGUGAAAUGCGUAGAUAUUAGGAGGAACACCAGUGGCGAAGGCGGCCUGCUGGACGACAACUGACGGUGAGGCGCGAAAGCGUGGGGAGCAAACAGGAUUAGAUACCCGGGUAUUA